rnacentral:rRNA from 1 species
GCUUUUAAUAGAAGGGUUAGAAAAUCGCUUCAUUCGUUUACUUUUAAGAUCCUCCUUGCAACGCCUCGUCACCUUAACUGUGUUAUGAACAGGUCGCCGCGAGAAGGGAGCCUUAGCUAGUGUACGGCUGCCGAUCCGCCGUAGGUGUCGUCCGCUGGGUUGAGCGUGUGACCCGUCCAUGCGGCACGAGGCUGGCGUGAGGCGUCGUCAUAGGUUCUGGCCGCUACGGUACAGAGGCCGCUGUCGAGUGGACGCUGACCAUUUCCGUCUCUGGGUUUUCCGUUUUCCUCUUACACAGUGGCCUAGCUCCGGCAGGUCUCUUACUGGUUGGCGUGGUCGUUGGCAGGCUACGAUGGGUGGUGCGCAUUGCCGAAGGAGAAGGGGGGUGUAGCAGAAGCUCAUGUGUGCCCGGGGCCUAGAUGCCUUGGGGCUGCCGCGCCUCGUGUGAGGCCGCCGGCCGCUACUACCGGCCCGCGUUAGUGGUGGUUUCGGUGCCGGUCUCCGAGGCGGCGGAGCAGGGCACGUAGGAGCAGCAGCACGAGCGGCAGGUGCGGCAGAGGAAGCGCGAGAUGGAGGAGGAGGUCAGGUUGGUAGGAGGGGGCUUGGGGCCCUUAGGGCUUCGAGUCUGGGUACUCUCUCAGGCUCUCGGCAGAAGGGCCUUCGGCACCGGCGCGGAGGGCAGGAAGGAGGGGACCUGACGGCUGGGUAGCGACGGCGGCGCGAGGACGCUCCGGAUGAAGCCCUUGCCGAAGAGGGUAGAGCAUCUUCAGGAGGGCCUCCCCGCACCCCCGCCGCCCACCAAGGCUACGGUGGUGUCGCUCUGCGACCCGUCGAGCUAGACGCUCCCGUGCGCCCACGCCGAGCUGGGCCGCGACUAGUGCUACAGCGCGCCGCCGCUCGGCUAGGUGGUCCACUACCCGGCGUUCCUCCUCCUCCUCGACGGGUCCAUGCUUAGGCCACGCGACCACCACCUCCCCCGCCGCCGCCCCUCCUCCCCCGGGAACCAGCUCGGCCCCAAGGAGCUGCGGGUGCACGGGUGGUUGCCCUAGCCCUGCGUGUGGUACUCUCGCGACGAGCUGAGGCGCGCACAGCACGGCGGGCCACUCGAGGUGACGAGGGUCACCUAACUUCUUGGCUGUGAAGACCAGUGUGCUAAACUCAUACGUUUGGAAAAGGUGUGUUAAUGUCUGACCAUGUCACGUAUACAAUCAAGGUCUCAGUGCUCAAAUGGACUAGCAGGAUUACAACAAAAGCACCUACCCGUAACGUUCCGUGGUGACCUCGUUUGUACCCUUCGUGAAAAAAGUUUACACUGGAUACGGUUCUCGAAGAGACCGGGACAAACAAAGGCCGUACGUCAAGAAAGUGGUAACCCGAUACUCUGACGAGAUAAAUUCCCCGAAUCACUUUCGAAGUCGACACUUCCUCGGAGACGAGUCAGGGAAUCUUUAUUUGGUCUGGUGGUCUUUUGACGUGCCAACAGACUUAAGCCCCUCUACUAAUAUCGAAGAAAACUAGAAGACCUCCUACCCUAGCACGGCGGAUUUUUUUGUAGUUUACCUGAGUUCUAAGAGAAACAAGCCUCUCUUCUGAUGAACCGGGUGGGUGCAGUGUCACCCUUCCAACUUAGAUCCGAUUCGUUACUCGUCCUCCAUAAGCUACGUCAACUCUUCACCCGUUUUCCAGUCUUCACGUUUUAUUUGCAGCACUUACCAGAAAAACGCGUGUACUCGUACUUCCUCGUUGAGGUCCGAUAGGACCUUCGAAGUCAGUAUUAUCCCCGAGUACCCCGACCAGACUGUGUGGACCAAAGUCGGUGCGGUCUGUGUUUUCAAGAACUCUAUUAGUCGUCGAAGAUAGCUGCGGGUGUAAAACCGAACUAGAGUGUGACCUUCAGCAAUCUUAUAGUACGGUAUUUAGAGGGACCUAGUAUACGUUCAUAGGGUCUGCAAUGGUUACUCAACCCCUUAUAUGACUUUCCAGAGCCUACGACUUUGCCUCCAUAAGAAUUGCAACUCAAUGUCAACCUCUAGUGAGAGACGACCAAUAAGUAAGUUAGUGCGGGCAGCAGAUCCUAAGUGUGUCGGGGUCAAGAGCCGCCUCCUUAAAAGACGACGGUCUACAUCUGGCUAUAAGGUGACUGUUCGAUGACUACUGUACUUCUUUGGGUUAACUGUGACAGGUAAGGCAAGAGCUGCACAAGCGGUACUAGGACCCGGACCGAUGACCCCCACCUAGUUUGACAUUAACAUUAAAAUAACAAACCCGAACUUGCAAAAACACAACGUUAUGCUCACAACUCACGGAGGGUGACGCGUCAAGCACUACUUGUAAGAACACGUGCCACAUACUACGCGGGUAAUAAAGACGGUUGCCUGCGCCCCGUCGCCGCCACAUAGUAAAACCUUCCACCCUAGCUGCCACGGCCCAGUCAGUAUUGCGCGAGCGGGCACAUGAACGCAUG